ensembl:snRNA U4 U4 spliceosomal RNA
AGCUUUGCACAGUGACAGUAUCAUAGCCAAUGAGGUUUAUCCAAGGCGCAAUUAUUGCUAAUUGAAAACUUUUCCCAAUACCCUGCUGUGAUGACUUGCAAUAUAGUCCACACUGGCAAAAAAGUAAAUAAAUGUCACAUG